AGAGUUUGAUCCUGGCUCAGGACGAACGCUGGCGGCGUGCCUAAUACAUGCAAGUCGAGCGGAUCUUCUCCUUCGGGAGAAGGUUAGCGGCGGACGGGUGAGUAACACGUAGGCAACCUGCCCCUAAGAUCGGGAUAACAUUCGGAAACGAAUGCAGACCGGAUACACAAGCUGAUCGCAUGAUUGGCUUGGGAAACACG
rnacentral:rRNA from 1 species